UGUACAUAAGGGGAGGGGCGGAGUUACAGGUAAGAGAGUUACUUCUACAAGGAAGUAGCAAAGUGCCGGACGGUGUGUGUGUCGCGGAAGUGCUGGUGAAAUGGAGGCCGAGGAGCCGCUGCGGGAGAUACAGGGAGGGCCAGGCCGGGGCAGUGAGAUGGGUAGUAGAAGACAAGGAGACUACAGAUAAAUUUUAUCGAGUUAACAAACCCCCGCUGACUCGCCCCGUGUGCACUACAAACAGAUAUACAGUGACAGGACCGACUGCAGCAGAAAUAAAUCCGCCAAGACCUAAGGCCGGCAGAGCAGAACGUUAAAGCGGACCUGUCACCUUAAGAAAUAAUUUCAAAUUGUUUUCUAUUGUGGUUGUCAAGCAAAAUAAACUUUACUUACACUAUA